AUCGAACGCUGGCGGCAGGCCUAACACAUGCAAGUCGAACGAGUGGCGGACGGGUGAGUAAUGUCGGGGAAAGUGCCUGAUGGAGGCGGAUAACUACUGGAAAAGGUAGAUAAUACUGCAUACCAUCAGAUGUGCCCAGAGUGGAGUAGCUAGGUGGUGGGGUAACGGCUCACCAAGGCGACGAUGCCUAGCUGGUCUGAGAGGAUGACCAGCCACACUGGAACUGAGACACGGGCCAGACUCCUACGGGAGGCAGCAGGGGGGAAUAUUGCACAAUGGGCGCAAGCCUGAUGCAGCCAUGCCGCGUGGAUGAAGAAGGCCGUCGGUUUGUAAAGUACUUUCAGCUGGGAGGCGUUAUCCACAGAAGAAGCACCGGCUAACUCCGUGCCAGCCGCCGCGGUAAUUC
rnacentral:rRNA from 1 species